rnacentral:rRNA from 1 species
GAUCCUAGUAGCGGCGAGUGAAGCGGCAAGAGCUCAAAUUUAUAAUCUGGCACCUUCGGUGUCCGAGUUGUAAUCUCUAGAAAUGUUUUCCGCGUUGGACCGCACACCAGUCUGUUGGAAUACAGCGGCAUAGUGGUGAGACCCCCGUAUAUGGUGCGGACGCCCAGCGCUUUGUGAUACAUUUUCGAAGAGUCGAGUUGUUUGGGAAUGCAGCUCAAAUUGGGUGGUAAAUUCCAUCUAAAGCUAAAUAUUGGCGAGAGACCGAUAGCGAACAAGUACCGUGAGGAAAAGAUGAAAAGCACUUUGAAAAGAAAGUUAACAGUACGUGAAAUUGUUGAAAGGGAAACGCUUGAAGUCAGACUUGCUUGCUGAGCAAUCGGUUUGCAGGCCAGCAUCAGUUUUCCGGGAUGGAUAAUGGUAGAGAGAAGGUAGCAGUUUCGGCUGUGUUAUAGCUCUCUGCUGGAUACAUCUUGGGGGACUGAGGAACGCAAUGUGCCUUUGGCGGGGGUUUCGACCUCUUCACACUUAGGAUGCUGGUGGAAUGGCUUUAAACGACCCGUCUUGAAACACGGACCA